CUUCCGGGCGUCGUUUGAAAUCCCUUGGGUUUGCCUGCAGAUAUGGCCUAUUUUAGGUGUGGUGGCAUUUAAAAUCAACACGCAUCAGAGGCUGAUUCUGUCUGACAACUCCAGGCUUUUAUCUCCCUGAUCCUCUCAAUCGCUCUUUUGACGUCUACAAAUCAGGAAAGUGAUCAGAGAAGAAACUGAAGCUCCAACAGUUCAAAUGUCUAAAGUCACCUACGUGGAUGAUUUGUGGAAGAAGAGGAGGGAGCAAUGAUCACAGAAUGUAAAUGCUAAGAAACUGAGGUCCAGAGCCACAGAGUGCCUUCUGCAAAGUAGUCUGAUGACUCACUUGGAUCUUUCAUACAACAAGAGAACCAAAUAAUCAGAUGAUUCCCAAUGUUCACCUGAACGUUUUACGUGACGGAAGUGCCACAAGCCACAGUCAACUAACGUUAAAUUAGUACAUCUUGGGGCAUCACAGUUACAC